UUCCGGUUGAUCCUGCCGGACCUUACUGCUAUCGGGAUAAGACUAAGCCAUGCGAGUUGUGCGCUCUCAAGCUAUGUUGAGAGAGCAGCAAACGGCUCAGUAACACGUAGUUAACCUACCCUCAGGACAGGGAUACCCCCGGGAAACUGGGGAUAAUAUCUGAUAGGCGGAAGUGCCUGGAAUGGUCUUCCACUGAAAGGGUGUUAAAAACAUGCUUUUAGCACUGCCUGAGGAUGGGACUGCGGCCGAUCAGGUUGUUGGUGGGGUAACGGCCUACCAAGCCUAUAACCGGUACGGGCCCUGAGAGGGGGAGCCCGGAGAUGGGAACUGAGAAACGGUCCCAGGUCCUACGGGACGCAGCAGGCGCGAAACCUCCACAAUGCACGAAAGUGCGAUGGGGUUAUCCCGAGUGCUUUCCGAUGAGGAUGGCUUUUCCUCGGUGUAAAAAGGCGAGGGAAUAAAGGGGGGGCAAGACUGGUGUCAGCCGCCGCGGUAAUACCAGCUCCCUGAGUGGUAGGGAUGAUUAUUUGGCCUAAAACGUUCGUAGCCGGCUUGGCAAGUCUUCCGUUAAAUCCAGCGACUCAAUCGUUGGUCUGCGGAAGAUACUACUAGGCUAGAGGACGGGAGAGGUCGACGGUAUUCCCAGUGUAGGGGUGAAAUCCAAUAAUCCUGGGAGGACCACCAGUGGCGAAGGCGGUCAACGAGAACGUGCCUGACGGUGAUGGACGAAAGCUGGGGGAGCGAACCGGAUUAGACACCCGGGUAGUCCCAGCCGUAAACGAUGCGGGCUAGGUGUUAGGGCAGCUACGAGCUGCUCUAGUGCCGCAGAGAAGUCGUUAAGCCCGCUGCCUGGGGAGUACGAUCGCAAGAUUGAAACUUAAAGGAAUUGGCGGGGGAGCACCACAAGGGGUGAAGCCUGCGGUUCAAUUGGAUUCAACGCCGGG
rnacentral:rRNA from 1 species